GGGCAGUUAGCUCAGUGGUAGAGCACUGCCUUCACACGGCAGGGUUUUUUUAGAUGACACAUGUGUGCGAGGCUGCCAGCCCAGCGUUCCAGUCUGAUUGCCCG
rnacentral:tRNA from 1 species